UACAUCGACCGGGAAUCGGACCCACGCUGCCCGCGUGGCAGGCGAGCAUUCUACCACUGAACCACCGAUGG
rnacentral:tRNA from 1 species